GUAAGGAAUAUUGGUCAAUGGGGGCAACCCUGAACCAGCCAUGCCGCGUGCAGGACGACUGCCCUAUGGGUUGUAAACUGCUUUUGCCGGGGAAUAAACCCCACUACGUGUAGUGGGCUGAACGUACCCGGAGAAUAAGGAUCGGCUAACUCCGUGCCAGCAGCCGCGGUAAUACGGAGGAUCCGAGCGUUAUCCGGAUUUAUUGGGUUUAAAGGGUGCGUAGGCGGCACUUUAAGUCAGGGGUGAAAGACGGCAGCUCAACUGUCGCAGUGCCCUUGAUACUGAAGUGCUUGAAUGCGGUUGAAGACGGCGGAAUGAGACAAGUAGCGGUGAAAUGCAUAGAUAUGUCUCAGAACACCGAUUGCGAAGGCAGCUGUCUAAGCCGUUAUUGACGCUGAUGCACGAAAGCGUGGGGAUCGAACAGGAUUAGAAACCCUAGUAGUCC
rnacentral:rRNA from 2 species